GUGGCCGGCGCCUGGUGCCCUGCAGACACCCGCUCUCUACGGAGCCGAGCUUGCUUUCAUGUCACCUCCUCGUACGGUUCCAGAAAAAUGCUGAGUGCGUGGAGGGCCAAGAAGAGAGGAGGAGGAAGGGAGGCCGGAGACGGCGGCGUGGGGACGGACACUGCCGUCUACAGACGCGUUGACACGCCGCCCCUCGGCUGCGCCCCCGAAGCCCUGUGGGCGAGGCGAGGCGGGCGCUCAGGGCAGGGCACCUCCCCUCUGCGCGGGAGGCGAGCGGAUUGCCCCGAGUGGAGGCCGCUCUGCCUGUGCGCACAGGCCUUGUGCAGCGAGGGGGCCGAGCCCAGCUCGUCGGUGCCGUCCGCAGGCCCCUCCCCGGCCCGGCCCUGCCUGCGGGCCGUCAGCCAUGCCCGUGAGUGUGGGGCCUCCGUGGCCGCGCCCUGGGCCGCCGCCCAGUGAGCAUCCCCCUUCAGGGGAAGAGAAAUGUGCUAAAUCCAAGGGCAUAAUCGCAGGAAUUCAAAGCAGGGCUCUGCCACGUGGUGAAGGACCUGUUUGCGCCGCACACAAAUUGCUGAAAGGAAAAGAAGACAAAGGGCUUAUUGCAGCAUGGGGAGAGUCAGAUGGGAAACUCUUUACCGGGGAAGAAUUGCUUAGCUGCAGUCUUGCAGACUUCUAUACAAGUGUGCAAAAGGCAACUCAGAAGCUGUGCCAUCCCAGGAGCCACCACCGGGCACGAGCUGCUCUUGAGCACACGAACGUGGCUCAUCCAGAUCAAAGUGUGCUGAAAGCACGAAACACACGCUGUACUUCAAAGACUUAGUACCAAAACAAUGAAGUAUCCUGGAUGUAUGGGGUUAAAUAAAACA